CUCCGUACACAGCAAAACCACCAGUGUUGAUUUUACAGAGUUCGCUACUCUAGAGUGGUCAGGUGUUAGUUGUAGUGUUCGUUUAUAAUUUAUCAUCACUCACAGUGUCAGAAACUUCCACAAGGGGGUGUUGCUUUCCAGUGUUCCAAUAAUAACGUUUGCGGGGAGUUAAGAUUCACGCCACGCCCCUUCUUUCUGAAGCGGGAAAGUCAGUUACUCAGCAUCGACCGACCUGGACUCACGUUACUGAGGUUUGGAACAUGCUGCUGAAGUUGGUUAUCAGGGCUCCAGGAAAUGUAUCAAACUGCAGGAUUGAUUUAUUUUUGCUCAUUAGUGAAGGUGGUAAGCUAAACUGACUGUGGACUAAUGUAUGCAUUGUUGAUGACACUGAAAUCGAGGAAGACAUUCUACAAGAUGUGCUGCUUACAGUUAGAGGACAAAAUGAAGAUGCAACAAGCAGCUUCUGCCACUGUCAUUUACCAUCUGAACUUGACCAAAGUCGUUCCAAGAAAUCUAAGACAACAGAUGACUCCAUGACCGAGAUGGUCAUUUGUGCCAUUAAGCAGAAUAGUGGAAGUCCUAGUCAACAUUUUUGUUGCACAUAUUGGAAGACUCCUACAAGGAACCAGUGAGAGCAUAGACUGUGAUAGUGACAUGGCAACACUGCCUUUACUGCUCCAUCUCCUUCCACCAUCACCUCAACGGAAUCAGUGCAUCAGAUUUGCAGUGAGCAGGCUUGUGGUGUAUCAUAAGUCUUGUACCAGCCUUGAAGAACAUCUUCAGCAACGAGUAGGAUGACAACCGUACCUUACUGCGGUUAGCAGGAUCUGCGGCCAGAUUUGAGAACUUUGACGUGGCUUUUGAUAAGAAUCUCACCCCAUCAGUCGGAAGGCUCCCUUUUAUUAGCAUUUGACUUUGUUUUUAAUGUAAUGUAUGAUGAUGGACUCCUUUACUUUAACUAAUUUAAUCAAACAACAGU